CUCUACACUGCAGAUAUGAGGCCUCUGUUCAUCUCAGUGCUGCUGGCUGCUGUGUGCCUUGAAUGCAGAGCACAAAAAGACAACGUGCUGCAACCAAAAGGAGACGAGACUGCUGCUGAAGGAGGCACAGUAACACUUGACUGUCUGUAUAACAGCAGUACAACAGGUCCAUCUCUCUUCUGGUACAAACAAGAUGGAAACAACAGCCCCAAAUUCAUCCUGAGCCGCUUUACUGGGGAUGAAGGAAACACACCAGAUGAGUUCAAGGAGAGAUUUUCAUCUACACUGAAUUCCAAAGACAAAUCAGUUCCUCUGAAGAUCCAGAAGCUACAGCUGUCUGACUCUGCUGUGUACUACUGUGCUCUGAGGCCCACAGUG